rnacentral:rRNA from 1 species
AUUGAACGCUGGCGGCAUGCUUUACACAUGCAAGUCGAACGGUAACAGGCCUUCGGGUGCUGACGAGUGGCGAACGGGUGAGUAAUGCAUCGGAACGUACCGUGUAAUGGGGGAUAACGUAACGAAAGUUACGCUAAUACCGCAUACGCCCUGAGGGGGAAAGCGGGGGAUCGUAAGACCUCGCGUUAUACGAGCGGCCGAUGUCGGAUUAGCUAGUUGGUGGGGUAAAGGCCUACCAAGGCGACGAUCCGUAGCGGGUCUGAGAGGAUGAUCCGCCACACUGGGACUGAGACACGGCCCAGACUCCUACGGGAGGCAGCAGUGGGGAAUUUUGGACAAUGGGGGCAACCCUGAUCCAGCCAUGCCGCGUGCGGGAAGAAGGCCUUCGGGUUGUAAACCGCUUUCGGACGGAAAGAAAUCGUCCUCUCUAACAUAGGGGAUGGAUGACGGUACCGUAAGAAGAAGCACCGGCUAACUACGUGCCAGCCGCCGCAGUAAAAC